UACGUAGGGUCCAAGCGUUAAUCGGAAUUACUGGGCGUAAAGCGUGCGCAGGCGGUUGUGCAAGACCGAUGUGAAAUCCCCGAGCUUAACUUGGGAAUUGCAUUGGUGACUGCACGGCUAGAGUGUGUCAGAGGGGGGUAGAAUUCCACGUGUAGCAGUGAAAUGCGUAGAGAUGUGGAGGAAGACCGAUGGCGAAGGCAGCCCCCUGGGAUAACACUGACGCUCAUGCGCGAAAGCGUGGGGAG
rnacentral:rRNA from 1 species